AGAGUUUGAUCCUGGCUCAGAUUGAACGCUGGCGGCAUGCCUUACACAUGCAAGUCGAACGGUAACAGCGCUUCGGUGGCUGACGAGUGGCGAACGGGUGAGUAAUACAUCGGAACGUGCCCGAGAGUGGGGGAUAACGCAGCGAAAGCUGUGCUAAUACCGCAUACGAUCUACGGAUGAAAGCAGGGGACCGCAAGGCCUUGCGCUCAUGGAGCGGCCGAUGGCAGAUUAGGUAGUUGGUGGGAUAAAAGCUUACCAAGCCGGCGAUCUGUAGCUGGUCUGAGAGGACGACCAGCCACACUGGGACUGAGACACGGCCCAGACUCCUACGGGAGGCAGCAGUGGGGAAUUUUGGACAAUGGGCGAAAGCCUGAUCCAGCCAUGCCGCGUGCAGGAUGAAGGCCUUCGGG
rnacentral:rRNA from 1 species